AUUGAACGCUGGCGGCAGGCCUAACACAUGCAAGUCGAGCGGAUGAAGGGAGCUUGCUCCUGGAUUCAGCGGCGGACGGGUGAGUAAUGCCUAGGAAUCUGCCUAGUAGUGGGGGAUAACGUCCGGAAACGGGCGCUAAUACCGCAUACGUCCUGAGGGAGAAAGUGGGGGAUCUUCGGACCUCACGCUAUCAGAUGAGCCUAGGUCGGAUUAGCUAGUUGGUGGGGUAAAGGCCUACCAAGGCGACGAUCCGUAACUGGUCUGAGAGGAUGAUCAGUCACACUGGAACUGAGACACGGUCCAGACUCCUACGGGAGGCAGCAGUGGGGAAUAUUGGACAAUGGGCGAAAGCCUGAUCCAGCCAUGCCGCGUGUGUGAAGAAGGUCUUCGGAUUGUAAAGCACUUUAAGUUGGGAGGAGGGGCGGUAAGUUAAUACCUUGCUGUUUUGACGUUACCAACAGAAUAAGCACCGGCUAACUUCGUG
rnacentral:rRNA from 1 species